rnacentral:rRNA from 1 species
AUGCUUGAAACAUCGAAGAAAAUGGUGAAGAGACAUACCGUUCUCCUACUACUUGUCUUUGUAAUUAUGUUCUCCUACAAUGUCCUGGAGGGUGGUGCAUACCAGAACCAAGUGGCAUUCUCUCGCAAAGAGCUGAAAGCACAGCAGAAAGUAUCCUUUACUGGAAUGGAUCCAUCGCUUGGCGGGCAGGUUUCCGGCGCAACCGAUGCAGGAGGUGCAAGCAAUAAUGCUGAAAUAUCAAAUGCUAAAACUACUGCUGCCACGGAGUCCCACCGUGACGUCUCAUGGGAUCAGUUCCGUGGUAUCAUCAUCCACACCCACCAGGUCAAGAAACCAUAA